rnacentral:rRNA from 1 species
UCGAGAAUUUUUCUCAAUGGGGGAAACCCUGAAGGAGCGACGCCGCGUGGGGGAUGAAGGGCUUCGGCCCGUAAACCCCUGUCAUUUGCGAACAAAUGUCAUGGUUGAACAUUCCAUGGCUUGAUUGUAGCGAAAGAGGAAGGGACGGCUAACUCUGUGCCAGCAGCCGCGGUAAUACAGAGGUCCCAAGCGUUGUUCGGAUUCACUGGGCGUAAAGGGUGCGUAGGCGGUUGAGUAAGUCUGACGUGAAAUCUCCGAGCCUAACUCGGAAACUGCGUUGGAUACUAUUCAGCUAGAGGAAUGGAGGGGAGACUGGAAUACUUGGUGUAGCAGUGAAAUGCGUAGAUAUCAAGUGGAACACCAGUGGCGAAGGCGAGUCUCUGGACAUUUCCCGACGCUGAGGCACGAAAGCCAGGGGAGCAAA